CUCCAGUUUCUCAUCAUCAUCUUCUUACUCUUGAAUCUCAUAAAGUAUAACUCACUCUAUUAGAAUAGGACUGAACCCGAUUAUUCCUUUAUUUCCAGCACCCAGCACGUAUUUGAAGACAUGGAGUGACCCUGCUUAGAGGAGAGCCCCUGCAUUCUUUAAAUUUGUUACUCCUACCCCUUACAGGAACUAGACGCCUUGCUUUGCAGUCUCCUCUAUAUGAUACCCCUGGGUGCCAAAGUAAGCUCAGGUUACAGCCCUAGGUACAGGAUGGGUCUAGAAAGCAUAUUGUGUUCCAUACGAAGCCAGCAAUCUCCCAGUCCCAUGCUCCCAUCUGAACUAAUUUGUUUGAACCUGGAAUUGGCAGUUGAUCCAAGAUCAAGGGAGAAGGAAAGAACAAAAAUCAGUGGUUAUUGAAGACGGAGAAGGAAGUUUGAUGAACAUCUAAACAUAGUUGUUCAAAGGCCUUCUGUCUUCCCGCUGAAGAUUCCGGUUCCCAGAAAACAGAAUAGAAUUGGCCUGGUCACGUGCCCCAGUGGUCAAGUGACCUGCCCCACCUGAACCAUGUGGAGUCAGAGACAGACAGGAGGGAGACUCUGUAGAUGAAAACUACCUAUGCCCACGAAAGCGGGACACCGUCAAAGCCAACAAAUAGAAAACCCCAAGAUCCAAGAUGUACAGGUAAGGAUGAUAAGCAAAGACACAACUGAUUAGUUUCUUUGACAAUAAUUGAAUUGUUCCUGAAGAAUUCAUCCCACAAAAGGAAAGUAGUUAAUUUGCUUCAACUAUUGGCCCCUGGACUCCAGGGUUGGAGAGCAUCACAUGUGAACACUGUGAACAGCGCGUAGAGAUGAUUCUUCCUACUGACGGGGCCCUAACUCACCACGUCCCUUCCCUCUGAGAAAUGUGUGCAAACUAAAAAAUGUCACGCUGAUCACCCCUCUGCUUCAGAAAACCAGGCUUCAACCAUCUUUUAUGCUCAGCUCUGCUGAGCUCCAUGGUGGUCAGAAUAACUGAAAGAGGGGAAAGUUGGUUAAGAAAUGCCACGAAUCAGGGCUCCUGUUUGCUGGGACCACCAGGCGGAGGACUCAUCUGUCAUUUACAGGUUUCCAAUUCCUUCAGGGGCUUCAUUUCACAGAAGAUAAGGGUGGGGGCAGGGCUUAUACAUUGGGAUACUGGGGAGGGGAGGGACAUGGGAAAUAUCACCAUGCCCCUAGGAAUCCUGACCGCCUCCUUUACUCAUUCUGUAUCAAGCAACCAAGAUAAUUUACAAAAAAUACCAACUUAUACGUAACGUAUCCUUUCUACAGCCCUACCUGAACACCGAAAUGGCUCUGAACUAAACUACACAGGUAAACCAGGCGUUUAUGAAGCAGAAUGAGUUGCCUCGGCUAUAGAGACCAGUGGUGAUACAAUAAAAUUCAAAUUAAG
rnacentral:lncRNA from 1 species